UUUAUCAAUUUGGAACCCUAAAAAACUCAGAACUCAUUCGCUUCCGUCGUGCUACGCGCUUCUCCAUCGAACGUCAAAUCUCGCCGGAAUUAGGUCAAAGGAGAGAGAAAAACAAUGGAGUGGGUCAGAGAUCAAGUCGAUGCUAUCAAUUCAGAUCAGACAACUUCUCAAUCAAGCUGCUAGUCAUGAGGAAUUGAGCAAUGUUCAAAUUCUGAAUUUCGAAAUUCUGCAUUUGUUGAAGUUGAUGGCGUGCAAUCGAAGGAUUUAGUAAAUUGUAGUCGAAUUCGAUAGCUUUAGUUGAAGAAUCCUGUGAAGUUAGGAUUUGCAUGCCUGCUCUUGCUGGAAAGGCCGGGAAAAGAAUGGAUACCCUUUUGGUGCCCUUGGAGCUGUUAUGCUGUAUUUCACGCACAGAAUUCUCUGACAAAAAGGCAUACAUACGGUGGCAGAAAAGACAGUUAAACAUGUUGGAGGAGGGGCUGAUUAAUUAUCCUGUUGUCGGUUUUGGAGAAUCCGAACGGAAGGCCAAUGAAAUUAGGAUUCUUCUAGCUAAAAUCGAGGAAUAUGAGGUGUUGAAGCAGCUUCACCUUGAAGCUCAUGAACUUACGCUUCACGAUGAUGAUAUUGAGAGGGUUCAAAGGCCUUGGGAACUUGCCCUGCCGAUCAUAAGAUAGGAAAGCCACGUCCUUUGUUCAGGAAAUUGGUUGGAACUGUCGUGGUUACAAGGAGUGAUGGGAGGAUGGCACUUAGAAGACUAGGUGCACUUUGUGAGCAGGUAAAGUAACUUGUUCUUUCCAAGUUUUACCUUGUGUUAGCAUCUGUAGGUUCUUUCACCUGAUUAUAAUAUCUGGUAGAUCUUACUCACAUUUAAUCCACACU